rnacentral:rRNA from 1 species
GAGCCUGUAUUGGGUUCCAGUAUGAAUGAAGUUAUUGGUUAAUUUAUUUUUUAGUUUUUUUAUUGAAUUUUUUUUUCAAUAAUAAAAAGUUAUUGUUGUAACAAAACAAAGAUAAGUCUUCGGAAAUUUUAUUUUUAGAAUAACAAUGGUUAUUUUAAAAAGUUUUCUAGGGCAGAAUUUUAUAUAAUAAUUUAAAUCUAUUAAUAAUUUUUAAAAUUACUCCGGAGUUAACAGAAAAUCAUACCUAAUCUAGUUCUUAUAGUAAGGUAAGUUUUACAUCGAUGUUGUAUUUAAGUUUAUUAAAAAAGGAGAAAUUUUAAUUUUUAAGACUGUUCUUCUUUUAAUUAACUUAACGUGAUAUUAGUUUAAUUCAUUGUGAGAUAGAAUUGUUUAUCUUGUUUGUUACUGGGUUAUAGUUUUAACAGUACGAAAGGAAAAUCAAAAAAAGUU